rnacentral:rRNA from 1 species
ACUCCUACGGGAGGCAGCAGUGGGGAAUAUUGGACAAUGGGGGCAACCCUGAUCCAGCAAUGCCGCGUGUGUGAAGAAGGCCUGCGGGUUGUAAAGCACUUUCGUUGGGGAAGAGCGUAUGUUUUGAAUAGGAGACAUACAAGACGUUACCCAAAGAAGAAGCACCGGCUAACUCUGUGCCAGCAGCCGCGGUAAUACAGAGGGUGCGAGCGUUAAUCGGAAUUACUGGGCGUAAAGGGCACGUAGGUGGAUAUAUAAGUUAGAUGUGAAAUCCAAGGGCUCAACCUUUGGUUGCCAUCUAAAACGGUAUAUCUAGAGUACAGUAGAGGGAAGUGGAAUUUCCGGUGUAGCGGUGAAAUGCGUAGAUAUCGGAAGGAACACCAGUGGCGAAGGCGACUUUCUGGACUGUGACUGACACUGAGGUGCGAAAGCGUGGGAUA